rnacentral:rRNA from 1 species
GACAGAGGGGGCAAGCGUUGCUCGGAAUCACUGGGCGUAAAGGGCGCGUAGGCGGGAUGGCAAGUCGGUCGUGAAAUCCUUCGGCUCAACCGAAGAACGUCGGCCGAUACUGCCGUUCUUGAGGGAUGCAGAGGAGAUUGGAAUUCCCGGUGUAGCGGUGAAAUGCGUAGAUAUCUGGAGGAACACCGGUGGCGAAGGCGGCAUCCUGGACCGGUAUUGACGCUGAGGCGCGAAAGCCAGGGGAGCAAACGGG